AAACUAUAUGUUUUUGUUUUGAAAACAAAAAGUAAGAAAAAAUUCUUGUAGUUUU
rnacentral:tRNA from 1 species